rnacentral:rRNA from 1 species
UUAAGCGACUAAGCGUACACGGUGGAUGCCCUGGCAGUCAGAGGCGAUGAAGGACGUGCUAAUCUGCGAUAAGCGUCGGUAAGGUGAUAUGAACCGUUAUAACCGGCGAUUUCCGAAUGGGGAAACCCAGUGUGUUUCGACACACUAUCAUUAACUGAAUCCAUAGGUUAAUGAGGCGAACCGGGGGAACUGAAACAUCUAAGUACCCCGAGGAAAAGAAAUCAACCGAGAUUCCCCCAGUAGCGGCGAGCGAACGGGGAGCAGCCCAGAGCCUGAAUCAGUGUGUGUGUUAGUGGAAGCGUCUGGAAAGGCGCGCGAUACAGGGUGACAGCCCCGUACACAAAAAUGCACAUAUUGUGAGCUCGAUGAGUAGGGCGGGACACGUGGUAUCCUGUCUGAAUAUGGGGGGACCAUCCUCCAAGGCUAAAUACUCCUGACUGACCGAUAGUGAACCAGUACCGUGAGGGAAAGGCGAAAAGAACCCCGGCGAGGGGAGUGAAAAAGAACCUGAAACCGUGUACGUACAAGCAGUGGGAGCCUCUUUUAUGGGGUGACUGCGUACCUUUUGUAUAAUGGGUCAGCGACUUAUAUUCUGUAGCAAGGUUAACCGAAUAGGGGAGCCGAAGGGAAACCGAGUCUUAACUGGGCGUUAAGUUGCAGGGUAUAGACCCGAAACCCGGUGAUCUAGCCAUGGGCAGGUUGAAGGUUGGGUAACACUAACUGGAGGACCGAACCGACUAAUGUUGAAAAAUUAGCGGAUGACUUGUGGCUGGGGGUGAAAGGCCAAUCAAACCGGGAGAUAGCUGGUUCUCCCCGAAAGCUAUUUAGGUAGCGCCUCGUGAAUUCAUCUCCGGGGGUAGAGCACUGUUUCGGCAAGGGGGUCAUCCCGACUUACCAACCCGAUGCAAACUGCGAAUACCGGAGAAUGUUAUCACGGGAGACACACGGCGGGUGCUAACGUCCGUCGUGAAGAGGGAAACAACCCAGACCGCCAGCUAAGGUCCCAAAGUCAUGGUUAAGUGGGAAACGAUGUGGGAAGGCCCAGACAGCCAGGAUGUUGGCUUAGAAGCAGCCAUCAUUUAAAGAAAGCGUAAUAGCUCACUGGUCGAGUCGGCCUGCGCGGAAGAUGUAACGGGGCUAAACCAUGCACCGAAGCUGCGGCAGCGACACUAUGUGUUGUUGGGUAGGGGAGCGUUCUGUAAGCCUGUGAAGGUGUACUGUGAGGUAUGCUGGAGGUAUCAGAAGUGCGAAUGCUGACAUAAGUAACGAUAAAGCGGGUGAAAAGCCCGCUCGCCGGAAGACCAAGGGUUCCUGUCCAACGUUAAUCGGGGCAGGGUGAGUCGACCCCUAAGGCGAGGCCGAAAGGCGUAGUCGAUGGGAAACAGGUUAAUAUUCCUGUACUUGGUGUUACUGCGAAGGGGGGACGGAGAAGGCUAUGUUGGCCGGGCGACGGUUGUCCCGGUUUAAGCGUGUAGGCUGGUUUUCCAGGCAAAUCCGGAAAAUCAAGGCUGAGGCGUGAUGACGAGGCACUACGGUGCUGAAGCAACAAAUGCCCUGCUUCCAGGAAAAGCCUCUAAGCAUCAGGUAACAUCAAAUCGUACCCCAAACCGACACAGGUGGUCAGGUAGAGAAUACCAAGGCGCUUGAGAGAACUCGGGUGAAGGAACUAGGCAAAAUGGUGCCGUAACUUCGGGAGAAGGCACGCUGAUAUGUAGGUGAAGUCCCUCGCGGAUGGAGCUGAAAUCAGUCGAAGAUACCAGCUGGCUGCAACUGUUUAUUAAAAACACAGCACUGUGCAAACACGAAAGUGGACGUAUACGGUGUGACGCCUGCCCGGUGCCGGAAGGUUAAUUGAUGGGGUUAGCGCAAGCGAAGCUCUUGAUCGAAGCCCCGGUAAACGGCGGCCGUAACUAUAACGGUCCUAAGGUAGCGAAAUUCCUUGUCGGGUAAGUUCCGACCUGCACGAAUGGCGUAAUGAUGGCCAGGCUGUCUCCACCCGAGACUCAGUGAAAUUGAACUCGCUGUGAAGAUGCAGUGUACCCGCGGCAAGACGGAAAGACCCCGUGAACCUUUACUAUAGCUUGACACUGAACAUUGAGCCUUGAUGUGUAGGAUAGGUGGGAGGCUUAGAAGUGUGGACGCCAGUCUGCAUGGAGCCGACCUUGAAAUACCACCCUUUAAUGUUUGAUGUUCUAACGUUGACCCGUGAUCCGGGUUGCGGACAGUGUCUGGUGGGUAGUUUGACUGGGGCGGUCUCCUCCUAAAGAGUAACGGAGGAGCACGAAGGUUGGCUAAUCCUGGUCGGACAUCAGGAGGUUAGUGCAAUGGCAUAAGCCAGCUUGACUGCGAGCGUGACGGCGCGAGCAGGUGCGAAAGCAGGUCAUAGUGAUCCGGUGGUUCUGAAUGGAAGGGCCAUCGCUCAACGGAUAAAAGGUACUCCGGGGAUAACAGGCUGAUACCGCCCAAGAGUUCAUAUCGACGGCGGUGUUUGGCACCUCGAUGUCGGCUCAUCACAUCCUGGGGCUGAAGUAGGUCCCAAGGGUAUGGCUGUUCGCCAUUUAAAGUGGUACGCGAGCUGGGUUUAGAACGUCGUGAGACAGUUCGGUCCCUAUCUGCCGUGGGCGCUGGAGAACUGAGGGGGGCUGCUCCUAGUACGAGAGGACCGGAGUGGACGCAUCACUGGUGUUCGGGUUGUCAUGCCAAUGGCACUGCCCGGUAGCUAAAUGCGGAAGAGAUAAGUGCUGAAAGCAUCUAAGCACGAAACUUGCCCCGAGAUGAGUUCUCCCUGACCCUUUAAGGGUCCUGAAGGAACGUUGAAGACGACGACGUUGAUAGGCCGGGUGUGUAAGCGCAGCGAUGCGUUGAGCUAACCGGUACUAAUGAACCGUGAGGCUUAACCUU